CAGCACCUCAAGUGGUCAGGAUGAUUAUUGGGCCUAAAGCAUCCGUAGCCGGCUCUGUAAGUUUUCGGUUAAAUCUGUACGCUCAACGUACAGGCUGCCGGGAAUACUGCAGAACUAGGGAGUGGGAGAGGUAGACGGUACUCGGUAGGAAGGGGUAAAAUCCUUUGAUCUAUUGAUGACCACCUGUGGCGAAGGCGGUCUACCAGAACACGUCCGACGGUGAGGGAUGAAAGCUGGGGGAGCAAACCGGAUUAGAGACCCGAGUAGUCC
rnacentral:rRNA from 1 species